AACGCGAAGAACCUUACCGGGGCUUGACAUCCAGCGACAUUCUAAGAGAUUAGAUUUCCGGGCAACCGGACGCUGAGACAGGUGCUGCAUGGCUGUCGUCAGCUCGUGCCGUGAGAUGUUGGGUUAAGUCCCGCAACGAGCGCAACCCUUAUUGCCAGUUGCCACCGGGUUAUGCCGAGCACUCUGGCGAAACCGCGCAGGAUAACUGCGAGGAAGGUGGGGAUGACGUCAAGUCCUCAUGGCCUUUAUGUCCAGGGCUACACACGUGCUACAAUGGUCGGUACAAACCGUCGCAAACCCGCGAGGGGGAGCUAAUCGGAAAAAGCCGGCCUCAGUUCGGAUUGGAGUCUGCAACCCGACUCCAUGAAGCUGGAAUCGCUAGUAAUCGCGGAUCAGAACGCCGCGGUGAAUACGUUCCCGGGCCUUGUACACACCGACUGUAC
rnacentral:rRNA from 1 species